UACGUAGGGUACAAGCGUUUAAUCGGAAUUACUGGGCGUAAAGCGUGCGCAGGCGGUUUUGUAAGUCUGUCGUGAAAGCCCCGGGCUCAACCUGGGAAUUGCGAUGGAGACUGCAAGGCUUGAAUCUGGCAGAGGGGGGUAGAAUUCCACGUGUAGCAGUGAAAUGCGUAGAGAUGUGGAGGAACACCGAUGGCGAAGGCAGCCUCCUGGGCCAGCACUGACGCUCAUGCACGAAAGCGUGGGGAGCAAACAGG
rnacentral:rRNA from 1 species